UACGUAGGGUGCGAGCGUUGUCCGGAAUCAUUGGGCGUAAAGCGCGCGUAGGCGGCCCUGUAAGUCCGUUGUGAAAGUCAAAGGCUCAACCUUUGAAAGCCGAUGGAUACUGCAGGGCUAGAGUCCGGAAGAGGCGAGUGGAAUUCCUGGUGUAGCGGUGGAAUGCGCAGAUAUCAGGAGGAACACCAAUAGCGAAGGCAGCUCGCUGGGACGGUACUGACGCUAAGGCGCGAAAGCGUGGGGAGCGAACAGG
rnacentral:rRNA from 1 species